GGAAUAGGAACGGCCACAGGAUAGAAAGGCCGGCCACCACCUCCCCACACGUUUCCCUCAGACCGAGCAAAGACGAAAAUGGCGGCGGCGGUUCCUCUCCCCUGACCAGAGCCAGGGCGUGCCACUGCCAUGUCGCCACUGACAAAGGCGGCGUCGGCGGCGGCGGCGGCGGAGUUUCUCAUCUCUUCCGGAUUGGAUACAGGGCGUGCCAUGCCUGCGUCUCAGAUCUCACGAUUGGCAUGCGCCCUGACUUCUCGCUCUUCGUAUCUCCCCCUCCCUCUCCCGGCCCGUGCUAGCGUCGGAGGAAUUGUAUUGUCGUAGAUCUGUUGCUCCAUAAAUGCCUUCCCUAUCUGUGGCCGAGCGCAACCAAGAAACGAGGUAUGGCCGGAGGGAGAGGUAGGGCUGGUCGGCUGGACCUGGUCGGCUGGACGUUGCCGGACUGGACUUUUCCCUGUUGGAGAGGGGGUAGCGAGGAGGGCUGCCGCACCGACGCGAGCACGAGGACGCCGCGGAGGGCCGCGACCCGAGGCCACUGGCGAGGACGGACUGCAGAGCGCUCGCAGCGGACGACCCACGAGCAGAGAAGCGAGCUGCUUACGAAGCUAGAUAGAGGAUUUGGAACGGCGGCGGCCGGCGGACAAGCGGGCUGAAGGAGUGCGGCUUGUGGGUGACUCGGCAAGGCUACGAGCUUCAUCGAACAAGAAGACACGCGGGUCAAGGUAUCACGCCAUACCGGAUGCUCCACCGCUGUUCCCUAUCCACAUCAUCUGCCGCAUCCAUCUCAUCUCGAAAAAACUUCGCAUGCAUCUGUUUCCUGUGCCAUCCCUUAUGAUAACCUUCGCAUCUCCUUCGUGUGGCAUAUAGGCAAUCGACAGGAUUGAGAAGGUAAUGCUCCUUCCAUUAUGUUAUUGAACCAUGUAUGCUGUUAAAUGUUACUAGCCACCAUAAGUAGAGUAAGAUUACUUAUAUUCUUUUAGAAACGGUAAUACCACUUCUGAGCGGUGCCUUCCAUGCUGAACGAUGCCAUCCAGACGUGUACUGAUCGGCCGGAGUGGAAGAACAACUCACAUUUGUGCAGCCAGCCCAAGGGAUCUUCAGUGCCGUCAUAUUUUGGGAAUCCAAGCUUCUGCGCUCCUGGAGGGGGUGGGCCGUGCCUGAAGUCAGCGCCAUUGGAGGUUUUGGAGGAAUCGCUGAAGGUCUGUUUCUUGUCUGCUAACACCUGGGAUUGUAGACGGUUCACAGUGACAGAGAUGCGGCCUUGUUCUGCUUGUGGUGUAUUCACGGUGUCGUUGAGAGCGCAAUUGUACUGUCCAAGGGGCUCUGGGUGAUGACGGGAUCCUCUCCUGGCGCUGAGUCGUUCAUCGUGAGAACAGGCCGACCGGCGGCAGCAGAAGAGAAGAUCAGGCGGAAGGAUUGUCUAGUCCAAUACCAAAUGAUAGGCACAGGGUUACGAGCAGAUUUGGUUUGGUAGGUUUCGAGAUGAAGACGAGGGCAAGGUCUAGCAGUGCCAACUCUAGGUGUGCUGCUGCUUACACUGCGCGGUGGUGGAGCUGGUCAUGUUGGCGGCCGUGCAAUGCAAGUGCCCGCCACGCCCGCGUCCAGGAAGGAGACAGGGUUUUGACAGGAAAGGAAGAUGUUCGUGCAAUAACAAAGGAAGCUCGAUCUGUGGUAGAACCACACACUAACAAAAUAAAAAGGUGAUCUCCCUUCACUCCUAAUCUAUUGUCCUUAAAGCUAGACAAUAAUCCCUUGGUAGAGGUAACUGUAACUCAACCUUCAGUAUUUUUUCUUGAACGCAUAGGGUAACUAUGUAUCAUUGUAUUAAGAAGAUGAAAGGGGUAAAGAGCCUUGGAAGGUACAAAAUGGCACACCACACACUUUCUCUUUUUCUUAUUUAUCUUCUAGCAUGUAUUUGGCAUAUAGAUGCAGAUGAAUCUCAAUUUGUUAAGUCUCACGGUUGAUGUUGAUUUAUAGAUGUUUUAAUUGUUAUAGGAUUGUCAAGCAAAGAAAAUAAGCAAAAUAACCUAGUAUAGUUCUAGCCAUUGGAAGAUUGAAAGACAGAUUGAUAGUACAAAAUGAAAGCAAUAUCAAAUUUGAGAGGGCGUACUUCACUGUUACAUACAAAUAUAUGGCAAUAUCCCAUCCUCUCGAACAUUUCUUAACGCAAAAUCAUAAAACACACUUUUCUUGAAGAUAUCAUCCACAGAUAUUGUGUCUUUGUUCAAACUUGAAGUACUUUGAUUUAAGUGGAAUGCUUCUCCACUACCUGAACCUUCUACAGUUUCUUACCACAGCUGCAGGAGCUGUACCUGGUUGGCACACAUGCACAAACCUGGGCACAUAUUUACCAAUUUGUUCCUGGAUCACACAAAUUUAUAUGCAGUUAUGCAUUCAACUUCUAUCAGUAACUCAUAAAUGUCAGGGAAGAGGCAGGACAAACCUUCCUAAUCGAGCAUGCUUAGUAGAGGUGAGAGAAUGACCCCACCCAACAUAGCCCAAAGCACUAUACCAGAAUCAAAGCGAAGGAGACAUCGUCUUUAACAAGGCGAUACAAGCAUAGACAUGGGCCAGAAGACACCAUGUAACAGACAGGUUUUUUGGACAUCACACUGAAUUGCAGACAAAAUAUGAGAACUGAAAACUUCAGCUAACAAGAGUCUUUUGACCCCACCAAAAAUCUCAGCUGAAGACUUCACUUGCCAUAUUUUGGAUUUCCUGACUUCCAAGUUCCACCAUUUUUUUUGGCCUUCUUUUCUGCAGAAUAGCCCAAGAAUCCAAUCAGAAGCAACAAGCAAAAAUCACAUCAGCAGGUUCAAUAAUGCUCCUGUUGUUAAAACAAACUUCAUUUCUAAGCUUCCAAAUAGCCCAGAGAACAUCCCCCACCCUGAGCGUGAUUAAAUUUUUAACAUCAUGACCAAAAUUACUCAGCCAAUCACCAAAAAGGGAGUCAAAGCCCUGAGGACAUCUUUUCAGAUCCAGGGCCACUUGCACCACCCUCCAGACAAAGAUAGCCACAGGCAAUUAAAGAAGAGGUGAUUAGUAGAUUCCAAAACGCGACAAAAACUCAUUGGAUAUCUACCUACAAUUUUCUGUUACCAAACUCUCACACGCACUUAUGCCGAACAACUAGAAGCUGACACCACCCUCUCCCUUACCUGAUCUUGAUCAGUCAUAAGGCAAACAAUGAUUAUUAGCUUAUAGUAUAUUAAGUUAAUAAUUAAUACUUACAGUUGUGAACUUGUGAUAUUAAGGCCCUCCCAGAGCAGAAAGCAGCAAUAUUUCUGUCUCUGUUAAUUAGCUUGCCACGUAUGUGGCAUACUGGCUUGUAAUUUAUCGAGGAGAGAGAAAAAAUUUAAAGCAAUGGUUUUUAAUUAAGAAAUCGUAGUAUCAUCUGUCCACCUUCCAGUUGACAGUGUCCUAUGGGCUCGGCUGACCAACCACAUUUGUUAAUCCCUUCAUUACUAUCUUCUUUUGUGCUUUACAUAGAUAACUUCUACAUGCCAAAACAUACUUCAAAGAUACAUUUUUAGAGGUAGUGUCUUUUCCUGUACAAAAUUUCGCAAGAAUUUAAUAACAAGUGAUGUACAGUUCGCGGUAAAUAUGCAAGGAACUUGAAUAAUGCUAUAAGCCUAUAACCUGACUCAGAUGAUGAGGACGCCAUAGCCAUCUUCACAACUUUCCAGCCACGACAGGGGCUAGCCUUUUGGCAUGUAAAUCUUUCACCGAUUUCAAAUGCUUCUAUGGUAUGAGAAACACUUGAAAUAUUAAUGGGAUGCACACUUCUUCCUCGAACACUUGGGAUGUUUAUGUCAGGGCAUGCAGGAAAAUAAUCCCUCACAGACAUCAUUGGGGGAAUAUGGCAUGACUGAGUGGGCAGCUGUGGUACAUUGGUGGCCAUGCUUCUCGGCAGCAACUCAUUGCUAGCCCUAUGAUCCAGCUGGAGUGUGACUCCAUUUAAGAUUUCCCUAUUACUAUCAUCAUGUGCUUCAGACUUGUUAUUGUCGUUUCUCAGUGAGUCCACUGUCCAAAACGUGUUUUUAUGUGGAUCAACCAUAGUUUUUUAGCCCUUACAGACUUGCCUUCCAUAUUCUUGCAUGUGGCUGCACGAGUAGUAUGUCCCCCUUAAUCCUUAAUAAUCAUGGCCAUUGUAUUUUUUUUACUAUUCACCAAAAAUUGGAUGCUUGUUUAGAGAUUUGUUUUGUUGCUAAAAUGUCCAUAGGUGAUGUAUGAUAUUUUCUGAUUUUUGCAAUAGACUGAAUUUCUUAGGUAAAGCCAGCUAGGACAUUUGCUCAUGAUUUUGGUGCUGUCUUAGGAAACACCUGCCUGUUGCAUAGUUUGCAGAUAAUUAUAAACAAUUUUACAUUGUGGACAGGAUCUUGCUGAGUACAUAUGUGAUGGGUCCGUUGGCUUUAGAGGUUUUCCUAUUUUAAAGCACAACACAGGGACCUAGAGAGCAGAUUCAUUAAUGCUUGGUAAGAAUUCAGUUAGAGCUUUCCGCUGAGAAAUAGCGUGAGCAUAUUUUUUCUUGAAAGAAAACCAGUUAAAUCAUGUCACUGUAAAUUUUUAAUAAAUAUACCUCAGUUAGACCAUUGUCUGAUUCUGAUCGCGUGAAGGUUUGAAUCAUUACCUUACCUACUUGAUAGCAACUUCGGUUUAUGCUUAGUUGGUGCUGCGUUACUGUUUUGUGUUCCAUUGUAGGUCAAAAAAGCCCUAAGAAUUGUGAACGUUGAGGUAACUCACAGGGGAAACAUGCGUAGAAAAUGUCGCAUUUCUGGCCUCACCUCACAAGCAACAAGAGAGCUAUCGUAUGUGUGUUCCAUUGCUGGUAUGAGCUAAUAGCUUAAAGAAUAAUGCAGUGACAUGAUUUGUUGGUUUCUCUGUGUUUCUCGAUCUACGUGGGAUCUUUAUAGAAUACUACUAUAGUACUAUGUUAGCCCCAUAGGUUGAGUUUUUUCUAGUCAAUAGUAAAAGCGAAUUACAUUUUUCGA